CACGGGCUUCCGGAGGACACGCCCCACCCCCGAAGGGAGGGGAGUGGGGAGGACUUUGGAGGACGUAUCCCCCCCCCCGCGCUGUCUCGCACCAAGGAAACGGACUCCUAGAGAGGCCAGCAAGGAAGGGGGCGGGGAGGCCACGCCCUCCCUCCCUCCCUGGUCCCUGGCAGGGCCUUUGUUGCUUCCGGUCCUGGAGCUCCGUCGGCAGCCUCUUCCCAAAAAAUUUUCAAAACAGACAACACAUCAAGGCAAAGAAGAGCUGCAAGUCUAUUCCUCUUCAUAAAACUGGAGAGACAGAAUUCAGAAACCGGCCAGAACUGGAAGAAGCCUGUCUUCAUACCUAAGGAAUCUUUUCACAGUCAGAGGCGACCCAAUAGAAGAAGAGGAUGGAGGAGCAGGACCCAGGAGGCCCUGGACUUGGCAAGAGAGUGAGGAAAGACCCCCAUCUCAUCCAAGCUAGGAGUGUUGUUGCAUCCUGGGAGAGAGCUGUGCCAGAGGACUGGGAUCAGAAGCCCCUGAACUCAGAAGUGCUUUGCCAACGCUUCCGACAGUUCUGCUACCAUGAUGCCGAUGGCCCUCGAGAGGUUUGCAGCCAGCUCCAUAGACUUUGCAGCCACUGGCUGAAGCCAGAGAGGCACUCCAAGAAGGAGAUCCUGGACCUGGUGAUCCUGGAGCAGUUCCUGAUCGUCCUGCCCCAA